GAAAUGCGAUAAGUAGUGUGAAUUGCAGAAUUCCGUGAAUCAUCGAAUCUUUGAACGCACAUUGCGCCCUUUGGCAUUCCGAAGGGCAUACCUGUUCGAGCGUCAUGUUCCCUCUCCAGCGCCGCUGGGUCUUGGGCGUCUUUGUCGUGCGCCGCGCGACUCGCCUCAAAGCCAUCGGCUGCCGGCCGGCCGCCCCCUCGCCCAGUACACCGCGGCGGCCGGGCGGGCGCGUCUGGUGUGCCGGAAGCCCCCGGGGCUUCGUUUUGUCUUUUCUGGUUUUGGCCUCGGAUCAGGUAGGAAUACCCGCUGAACUUAA
rnacentral:misc_RNA from 1 species